rnacentral:lncRNA from 10 species
GAUUCUGGGAGCAGGGCUGUCAGGGUCUCCAGGGCAGGGGCCCCCAUUCAGCCUGUUCCCAUUGCCAGUGUGAGAUGCCCAGAUGUGGGGCACCCAGGCCUGGGAUGCCCAGGCAUGGAGUAUCCAGGUGGAGAAACAUGGGGCUAAAUGAUGAUCUUGAAAAGGGCCCUCACUCGUGAGCCUUCGCCAUGUGCCAGUCACUAUGCUGAGCACCUUGCAGGUCUUGCUGUGAUGACUGGAGCUGUGGCAGCCACCUUGUGACCAUGAGGGAAAAGCCAAGAGACUAGUUGAGAAGCCAACUGAGAGUUUUACCGCCAACUGAGAGUUUUACCUCCAUUGAGCUGCUGGAUUUGCCAACUCUAGAACCACUCAUUCUGGGUAUCUCAUUAGGCAAGAUAAUAAAUUUCUCAUUAUUCAAGCUGUUUUCAUUGGUCUUUCUGUUACUCACAGACAAAGCAUGACAAUUGAAGUACUCAGUGAGGAAUGUGGUGAAGUUGCCUGAAGUCACACCCUUGCCAGGAAUAGUGGAAGGCUAUAUGGGCUUUGUGAGCCCACUCCCUCACCAGGGGGCUUUGCCCUUUCCAUCCAGGAGGUUCAAAUCCAGCCUCAAACCUUUCUAGACAAAAUAUCUGUCAAAAGAGUAUGAUAAAACAGAGCAUCUCUGUUUAUUCCUCAAUAAGAGAUAGAGAGAGAGAUGAGGACACUCUACCUAAGGUGUGUGCUGGAGGAAAUGUAACUUCUGUCCUCUAAACAGAAAUAAGCACGAGUCUCUCCCGUAUCCCUGGCAGCCUCCACCUGGGAGCUUUUAUUCCUGCCCAUGUUUGCACUUCAUGGAACCAGGAGUUCC